AUGUCGACGAGUGCACAUCGCAGUUCUCGUAGUACGCAUUCUUUGGAAGUAAUAGAGAAGAGUCAAUAAUGAAAUUGUGGAGUGGGGAUACUGGGCUUCCCGAGAUGACAACAAAGUCGAACGUUCGACCGAUUUUAAUAAUUAAUGGUUCAGUCUUGCUACGUAUUUCGAAGAGUACACAUCGCAGUUCUCGUAGUACGCAACCUUUGGAUAUAAAAAAGAAGAGUCAAUAAUGAAAUUGUGGAGUGGGGAUACUGGGCUCUCCGAGAUGACAACAAAGUCGAACGUUCGACCGAUUUUAAUAAUUGAUGGUUCAGUCUUGCUACGAAUUUCGACGAGUACACAUCGUAGCUCUCGUAAUACGUAUUCUCCAGAAAUAAUAACAAAGAGUUAAUGUAAGUAUGUUAUUAUCACUAGUUCUUUCAAUAUUCUAUAUGAUUUAUUUCGUUUUAGAAUCAAAUUAUGGAGGUGGGGAUACUUUCCCAGCCGUGACGCCAAUAAAAUGGACUAUGACAGCUGCUGGUUCAGUCUUGCCUUGAAUUUCGACCAGUACACAUCGCAGUUUUCGUAGUACGCAUUCUUUGGAAGUAACACAGAAGAGUCAAUAGUGAAAUUAUGGAGUGGGGAUACUGAGCUUCCCGAGAUGACAACAAAGUCGAACGUUUGACCGAUUUUAAUAGUUGAUGGUUCAGUCUUGCUACGAAUUUCGACGAGUACACAUCGUAGCUCUCGUAAUACGUAUUCUCCACAAAUAAUAACAAAGAGUUAAUAAUCAAAUUAUGGAGGUGGGGAUACUUUCCCAGCCAUGACGCUGCUGGUUCAGUCUUGCCUUGAAUUUCGACCAGUACACAUCGCAGUUCUCGUAAGUGAAAUUAUGGAGUGGGGAUACUGAGCUUCCCGAGAUGACAACAAAGUCGAACGUUUGACCGAUUUUAAUAGUUGAUGGUUCAGUCUUGCUACGAAUUUCGACGAGUACACAUCGUAGUUCUCGUAAUACGUAUUCUCCACAAAUAAUAACAAAGAGUUAAUAAUCAAAUUAUGGAGGUGGGGAUACUUUCCCAGCCAUGACGCUGCUGGUUCAGUCUUGCCUUGAAUUUCGACCAGUACACAUCGCAGUUCUCGUAGUACGCAUUCUUUGGAAGUAACACAGAAGAGUCAAUAGUGAAAUUAUGGAGUGGGGAUACUGAGCUUCCCGAGAUGACAACAAAGUCGAACGUUCGACCGAUUUUAAUAAUUAAUGGUUCAGUCUUGCUACGUAUUUCGAAGAGUACACAACGCAGUUCUCGUAUUACGCAUUCUUUGGAAAAUGAAAUAGAGGAGUGGGGAUAUUCUCCCACUCGUGACGACAAUAUAAGCGCACAGCUACUGGUUCAGUCUUGCUACGAAUUUCGACGAGUACACAACGCAGUUCUCGUAGUACGCAUUCUUUGGAAUAUGAAAUGGAGUAGUGGGGAUAUUCUCCCACUCAUAUGGACAAUAUAAGCGGACCGACAGCUACUGGUUCAGUCUUGCUUCGAAUUUCGACGAGUACGCAUCGCAGUUCUCCCACUACGCGUUCUCCGCAAAUUCAAAUUGCGAAGUGGGGAUACUCGGCAGCGAGAGAGGACAACAAAGACGGGCCUUCGACCGACUCUUACAGUUACUAGUUCAGUUGUGUUUUGGACUUCGACGAGGGAACUUGGAAAAUUUCGCGGAGACUAUUCCUGCAAGUAUUAACGAACAGUUAAUAAAAUGUAUAUCAGAAUUUCUCGUUCUUACAAUAUUCUCUACAGUUUAUUUGAUUUUACACUAAAUUGCGAAGUGGGGAUACUGGGCUGCGAGAGAGGACAACAAAGACGGGCCUUCGACCGACUCUUACAGUUACAAGUUCAGUUGUGUUUUGGACUUCGACGAGUGAACUUAGAAAUAUUCGCGGAUGCCACUCGAGCGGGUAUUAACGAAGAGUUAAUUAAAAUAUACAACAGUUUAUUUGAUUUUAGACUUAAAUUCGAAGUGGGGAUACUCAGCUUCGAGAGACGUCAACAAAGUUGUGCCUUUGACCGACUUCUACAAUCACUAGUUCAGUUGUGCUUUGGACUUCGACGAGGGAACAUAGAAAUUUUCGCAGGAUGCCUCUCGAGCGAGUAUUCACGGAGAGUUUACGCAAGUACAAUAUUAUAUUAUUCAUAUUUUCGAAAUUCUAUACUUCCUCUUUUGUUUCAGACUUCGUUUUCGCAUUUUCGGGGGACUUUGACAAUCUAUCUCCACGAAUGAACUUAGAAAUUUUUGCACUCCCGGUGGACUUUGAAAAUCUAUCACCACGAAGGGACUUAGAAAUUUUUGCAUUCCCGGUGGACUUUGACAAUCUAUCUCCACGAAGGGACUUAGAAAUUUUUGCACUCCCGGUGGACUUUGACAAUCUAUCUCCACGAAGGGACUUAGAAAUUUUUGCA